UACGUAGGGGGCAAGCGUUGUCCGGAUUUAUUGGGCGUAAAGAGCGUGUAGGCGGCCAGAUAGGUCCGUUGUGAAAACUCGAGGCUCAACCUCGAGACGCCGAUGGAAACCAUUUGGCUAGAGUCCGGAAGAGGAGAGUGGAAUUCCUGGUGUAGCGGUGAAAUGCGCAGAUAUCAGGAGGAACACCGAUGGCGAAGGCAGGUCACUGGGCCGUAACUGACGCUGAGGAGCGAAAGCAUGGGGAGCGAACAGG
rnacentral:rRNA from 1 species